rnacentral:rRNA from 1 species
GAUGAACGCUGGCGGCGUGCCUAAUACAUGCAAGUCGAGCGAACAGACGAGGAGCUUGCUCCUCUGACGUUAGCGGCGGACGGGUGAGUAACACGUGGAUAACCUACCUAUAAGACUGGGAUAACUUCGGGAAACCGGAGCUAAUAUCGGAUAAUAUAUUGAACCGCAUGGUUCAAUAGUGAAAGACGGUUUUGCUGUCACUUAUAGAUGGAUCCGCGCCGCAUUAGCUAGUUGGUAAGGUAACGGCUUACCAAGGCGACGAUGCGUAGCCGACCUGAGAGGGUGAUCGGCCACACUGGAACUGAGACACGGUCCAGACUCCUACGGGAGGCAGCAGUAGGGAAUCUUCCGCAAUGGGCGAAAGCUUGACGGAGCAACGCCGCGUGAGUGAUGAAGGUCUUCGGAUCGUAAAACUCUGUUAUUAGGGAAGAACAAAUGUGUAAGUAACUAUGCACGUCUUGACGGUACCUAAUCAGAAAGCCACGGCUAACUACGUG